GUACUGCCAGACGUUGGAACCGGGAGAGGUAAGAGGUACUACAGGGGUAGGAGUGAAAUCUUGUAAUCCCUGUGGGACCGACCUGUGGCGAAGGCGUCUUACCAGAACGGGUUCGACGGUGAGGGACGAAGCUGGGGGCACGAACCGGAUUAGAUACCCGGGUAGUCCCAGCCGUAAACGAUGCUCGCUAGGUGUCAGGCAUGGCGCGACCGUGUCUGGUGCCGCAGGGAAGCCGUGAAGCGAGCCACCUGGGAAGUACGGCCGCAAGGCUGAAACUUAAAGGAAUUGGCGGGGGAGCACAACAACGGGUGGAGGCCCUGCGGUUUAAUUGGACUCAACGCCGGACAACUCACCGGGGGCGACAGCAAUAUGUAGGCCAAGCUGAAGACUUUGCCUGAAUCGCUGAGAGGAGGUGCAUGG
rnacentral:rRNA from 1 species